CCUACGGGUGACUGCAGUGGGGAAUAUUGCACAAUGGGGGAAACCCUGAUGCAGCGACGCCGCGUGCGUGCAGAAGUAAUUCGUUAUGUAAAGCUCUAUCAGCAGGGACGAAAAUGACGGUACCUGAUCAAGAAUCCCCGGCUAACUACGUUCCAGCAGCCGCGGUAAUACGUAGGGGUCAAGCGUUAUCCGGAUUUACUGGGUGUAAUGGGAGCGUAGACGGCAGUUCAAGUCUGGAGUGAAAGGCCGGGGCUCAACCCCAGGACUUCUCUGGAAACUGUACGGCUGGAGUGCAGGAGAGGUAAGUGGAAUUCCGAGUGUAGCGGUGAAAUGCGUAGAUAUUAGGAGGAACACCAGUGGCGAAGGCGGCUUACUGGACUGUAACUGACGUUGAGGCUCGAAAGCGUGGGGAGCAAACAGGAUUAGAUACCCUAGUAGUC
rnacentral:rRNA from 1 species